rnacentral:rRNA from 1 species
AGAACGAACGCUGGCGGCAUGCCUAACACAUGCAAGUCGAACGAGACCUUCGGGUCUAGUGGCGCACGGGUGCGUAACACGUGGGAAUCUGCCCUUGGGUUCGGAAUAACAGUUGGAAACGACUGCUAAUACCGGAUGAUGACGUAAGUCCAAAGAUUUAUCGCCCAAGGAUGAGCCCGCGUCGGAUUAGCUAGUUGGUGGGUAAAGGCCUACCAAGGCGACGAUCCGUAGCUGGUCUGAGAGGAUGAUCAGCCACACUGGGACUGAGACACGGCCCAGACUCCUACGGGAGGCAGCAGUGGGGAAUAUUGGACAAGUGGGCGAAAGCCUGAUCCAGCAAUGCCGCGUGAGUGAUGAAGCCGUAGGUUGUAAAGUCUCGUUUACCCGGGAUGAUAAUGACAGUACCGGAGAAUAAGCCCGCUAACUCCGUGCCAGCACGGCCGC